rnacentral:rRNA from 1 species
GAUGAACGCUGGCGGCGUGCCUAAUACAUGCAAGUCGAGCGAACAGACGAGGAGCUUGCUCCUCUGACGUUAGCGGCGGACGGGUGAGUAACACGUGGAUCACCUACCUAUAAGACUGGGAUAACUUCGGGAAACCGGAGCUAAUACCGGAUAAUAUAUUGAACCGCAUGGUUCAAUAGUGAAAGACGGUUUUGCUGUCACUUAUAGAUGGAUCCGCGCCGCAUUAGCUAGUUGGUAAGGUAACGGCUUACCAAGGCAACGAUGCGUAGCCGACCUGAGAGAGUGAUCGGCCACACUGGAACUGAGACACGGUCCAGACUCCUACGGGAGGCAGCAGUAGGGAAUCUGCCGCAAUGGGCGAAAGCUUGACGGAGCAACGCCGCGUGAGUGAUGAAGGUCUUCGGAUCGUAAAACUCUGUUAUGAGGGAAGAACAAAUGUGUAAGUAACUAUGCACGUCUUGACGGUACCUAAUCAGAAAGCCACGGCUAACUACGUG